rnacentral:rRNA from 1 species
GACGAACGCUGGCGGCGUGCUUAACACAUGCAAGUCGUGCGGAAAGGCCCCUUUGGGGGUGCUCGAGCGGCGAACGGGUGAGUAACACGUGAGUAAUCUGCCCUGCACUUUGGGAUAACUGCCGGAAACGGUGGCUAAUACUGGAUAGGACUGCAUCCUGCAUGGGGUGUGGUGGAAAGCCUUUGGGUGGUGUGGGAUGUGCUCGCGGCCUAUCAGCUUGAUGGUGGGGUAGUGGCCUACCAUGGCUUUGACGGGUAGCCGGCCUGAGAGGUGACCGGUCACACUGGGACUGAGACACGGCCCAGACUCCUGCGGGAGGCAGCAGUGGGGAAUAUUGGACAAUGGGCGGAAGCCUGAUCCAGCAACGCCGCGUGAGGGAUGACGG